rnacentral:rRNA from 1 species
UACAUGUGGGGCAAGCGUUGUUCGGAAUUACUGGGCGUAAAGGGUGCGUAGGCGGUUUGUUAAGUCACGGGUGAAAGUUUUCGGCCCAACCGGAAAAUUGCCCGUGAUACUGGCGAACUUGAGUGCGUGAGGGGUUACCGGAACGAGCAGUGUAGCGGUGGAAUGCGUAGAGAUCCGGAGGAAGACCGGUGGCGAAGGCGGCCUGCUGGGCAGUUACUGACACUGAUGCGCGACAGCGUGGGGAGCAAACAGG